GGAGGAGUACCGAAGUGGUCGUAACGGGGCCGUCUCGAAAACGGCUGUAGCGUAAGCUACCGUGAGUUCGAAUCUCACCUCCUCCG
rnacentral:tRNA from 1 species